GAUGAACGCUGGCGGCGUGCCUAAUACAUGCAAGUCGAGCGAAUGGAUUAAGAGCUUGCUCCGGUGGAUUAGUGGCGAACGGGUGAGUAACACGUGAGUAACCUGCCCUUGACUCUGGGAUAACUGCGGGAAACUGUAGCUAAUACCGGAUACGACCCUCGGCGGCAUCGCCAGGGGGUGGAAAGAAUUUCGGUCAAGGAUGGACUCGCGGCCUAUCAGCUAGUUGGUGAGGUAACGGCUCACCAAGGCGACGACGGGUAGCCGGCCUGAGAGAGUGUCCGGCCACACUGGGACUGAGAUACGGCCCAGACUCCUACGGGAGGCAGCAGUGGGGAAUAUUGCACAAUGGGCGCAAGCCUGAUGCAGCGACGCCGCGUGAGGGAUGACGGCCUUCGGGUUGUAAACCUCUUUCACCAGGGACGAAGCGCAAGUGACGGUACCUGGAGAAGAAGCACCGGCCAACUACGUGCCAGCCGCCGCGGUAA
rnacentral:rRNA from 1 species